rnacentral:rRNA from 1 species
AUGCUAUGGUCAAUAUGGUAUGCUAGGAGGAAGGCUAUUUAUGAAUCCAUAUUUCAGAGUCCCCAACAUACGGCGUCCUUUAUCAAUACUUACAUUGACGAGUUGGAACACAAUGUUGCUGGUCGAGUGGAUGAGCGCACUGUUGCUGCACCACCACAACCGAACAGGUGGCUUCCUCCACCAAGUGGCAUCGCGAAGAUUAAUGUUGAUGGGGCUGUGGUACGAUCAUGGAGAGGAGGCGAAGUUGCUGCCCUUUGUCGCGACCAUGAGGGGCACUAUUUGGGCUCUUCGGCAAUGGUUUACCAUGGGAUCACGGACCCCUUAACCUUGGAGACAUAUGCAUGCCGUGAGGCUCUUGCUUUGGCGGAUGACCUAGGACAGCAGAGAAUUUGCAUGGCAUCGGAUCGCCAAGAGGCGGUCAAUGAUAUCAAUAGGGGAACAGGAGGCCCCAAUGCUGCGUUGGUACAUGAAAUAAUGAACCAUUGUAAUAGUUUUAUUACUUGCUCUUUUGUUUUCGAGCGUAGGAACUUCAAUUUUGAAGCUCACCAUCUCGCCAUGUUUGCUUGUAACCUACAUAUAGGUAGACAUGUUUGGUUGGGCAAUCCCCAUGACCCCAAUCUUGUACCUAUGACAAUUGCUUCUGAAUAA